rnacentral:tRNA from 1 species
GACUGGAUAGACUAGUGGUAAAGGCAUCACAUUGACAAUGCUGAGGUCCCAGGUUCAAAUCCUGGUCUAGUCA